GGAUGCGAUCAUACUAGCACUAAAGCACCGGAUCCCAUCAGAACUCCGAGGUGCAAGCGUGCUUGGGCGAGAGUAGUACUAGGAUGGGUGACCUCCUGGGAAGUCCUCGUGUUGCAUUCA
rnacentral:rRNA from 1 species